UACGGGGGGGGCAAGCGUUGUUCGGAAUUACUGGGCGUAAGGGGCUCGUAGGUUGCCAACUAAGUCGGACGUGAAAUCCCUCGGCUUAACCGGGGAACUGCGUCCGAUACUGGAUGGCUUGAGUUUGGGAGAGGGAUGCGGAAUUCCAGGUGUAGCGGUGAAAUGCGUAGAUAUCUGGAGGAACACCGAUGGCGAAGGCAGGUCUCUGGGCUGACACUGACGCUCAUGCACGAAAGCGUGGGGAGCAAACAGG
rnacentral:rRNA from 1 species